ACUGAAGAGUUGCUCCAGUGGCGCAAUCGGUUAGCGCGCGGUACUUAUAAGACAGUACAGUUGUGAGCAAUGCCGAGGUUGUGAGUUCGAGCCUCACCUGGAGCAGUUUUUCUGCUCCCU
rnacentral:tRNA from 1 species